rnacentral:rRNA from 1 species
AUUGAACGCUGGCGGCAGGCUUAACACAUGCAAGUCGAGCGGGGACUUCGGUCCUAGCGGCGAACGGGUGAGGAAUGCUUGGGAAUCUGCCCAGUAGCGGGGGAUAACGUUUCGAAAGGAACGCUAAUACCGCAUACGCCCUACGGGGGAAAGGGGGGGAUCGUCGGACCUCUCACUAUUUGAUGCGCCCAAGUCGGAUUAGCUAGUUGGUGGGGUAAAGGCCUACCAAGGCGACGAUCCGUAGCUGGUCUGAGAGGAUGAUCAGCCACGCUGGAACUGAGACACGGUCCAGACUCCUACGGGAGGCAGCAGUGGGGAAUAUUGGACAAUGGGCGAAAGCCUGAUCCAGCCAUGCCGCGUGUGUGAAGAAGGCCUUCGGGUUGUAAAGCACUUUAAGCGAGGAGGAAUGGCUCUUGGUUAAUAACCUUGAGCAGUGACGUUACUCGCAGAAUAAGCACCGGCUAACUCUGUGCCAGCCGCCGCAGUAAGAC